rnacentral:rRNA from 1 species
GACGAACGCUGGCGGCGCGCUUAACACAUGCAAGUCGAACGCUGAAGCUCAGCUUUUGUUGGGUGGAUGAGUGGCGAACGGGUGAGUAACACGUGAGUAACCUGCCCCCUUCUUUGGGAUAACGCCCGGAAACGGGUGCUAAUACUGGAUAUUCACUGGUCUUCGCAUGGGGGUUGGUGGAAAGGGUUUUUCUGGUGGGGGAUGGGCUCGCGGCCUAUCAGCUUGUUGGUGGGGUGAUGGCCUACCAAGGCUUUGACGGGUAGCCGGCCUGAGAGGGUGACCGGUCACAUUGGGACUGAGAUACGGCCCAGACUCCUACGGGAGGCGGCAGUGGGGAAUAUUGCACAAUGGGCGCAAGCCUGAUGCAGCGACGCCGCGUGAGGGAUGGAGGCCUUCGGGUUGUGAACCUCUUUCGCUCAUGGUCAAGCCGCAACAAUGGUUGUGGUGAGGGUAGUGGGUAAAGAAGCGCCGGCUAACUACGUG